ensembl:snoRNA SNORD36 Small nucleolar RNA SNORD36
GUGCAGUGAUGUAUGAAUUUCUUCGACUGAAUCCCCUGUGUGGAAACAAACGAGCUUUUUAACCCUGAGCACA